rnacentral:rRNA from 1 species
UCGUGCGGAGAGGGGCUCGCGGGCUAUCAGCUGGUUGGUGAGGUAAUGGCUCACCAAGGCGACGACGGCUAGGGGGUCUGAGAGGACGACCCCCCACAUUGGAACUGAGACACGGUCCAG